UCGACUGUCCUGCACAGUUCAUCUUCAACCCUAAUCAAACACACCUGAAGCACCUGAAGUCUUCUGGAUCACUUGAAAAUUAAAGUCAUGAAGAUCAGCGAACUGGUUCUCUAAUAUUACACAACCUGCCAGAUGCUUUGCUACCACCUACACAUGUAAAGCGUCUAAUGAGCUCGGUCAGGCAGUGUGCAGCGUGCAGUAUAACCCUCAGAGUGACCUAUGCAGGAAGAAGUGGAGCUGUAAUUGGUGGAGUUUUGAUGGGAACAUUCCUCGUUCUUCUGCUGAUUGGUACGAUGAUAGUUUCCUACAUCACCUGGAACAGUGAGAAGCACAUCUAGAAAAUAUAUGCAAAUG